UACAGAGGGUGCGAGCGUUAAUCGGAAUUACUGGGCGUAAAGCGUGCGUAGACGGUAGCGUAAGUCAGAUGUGAAAGCCCCGGGCUCAACCUGGGAACUGCAUUUGAGACUGCUCUGCUCGGGUGCGGAAGAGGGAAGCGGAAUUCCCGGUGUAGCGGUGAAAUGCGCAGAUAUCGGGAGGAACACCGGUGGCGAAGGCGGUUCUCUGGGCCUGUACUGACGCUGAGGAGCGAAAGCGUGGGGAGCGAACAGG
rnacentral:rRNA from 1 species